rnacentral:lncRNA from 1 species
GUGUCACUAAAAAUAUUCCCUUUUACUUAGCACAGUAUGCCUCACAAAUCAUCCAGAUAAGAACCAUAUCCACAGUAGACAGCAUUUUUAAGGCAUGGAUUUUUCCUCCAAUAGUUUUAAAAUAACACCCACUCUUCUCUCUCUUGCAGGAAUAGAUACAGAAAUCUGGUGCAUGCUACUGGCUGGCUGCUGUGGUUCAGAGCAGAAGUGACUGCAUUUGUCUAGAAACAAAACGAGAAGAUGUUUUCAGCUGAGGACACAGUUCAGCUGCAAGGUGCAGCACUUCACGGGGCUUGCAGAAGGAACCUGACACAGUACUGGUCAUUUAUGACCCUUUUCCUCACUCCUGUUGGAGCAGGCCAAGGAUCCCAGCUGACACCACUGAAGAUCACAGAAUCACAGAAUUGUAGGAGUUGGAAGGGACCUCUAGAGAUCAUUGAGUCCAACCCCCCUGCCAAAGCAGGUUCCCUACACCACGUCACACAGGUAGGCAUCCAAGAUACUUCCCGUUCUUGUGCCA